AUUGAACGCUGGCGGCAGGCCUAACACAUGCAAGUCGAACGAGUGGCGGACGGGUGAGUAAUGUCUGAGAAACUGCCUGAUGGAGGGGGAUAACUACUGGAAACGGUAGCUAAUACCGCCUACCCUCGGAUGUGCCCAGAUGGGAUUAGCUUGUUGGUGGGGUAACGGCUCACCAAGGCGGCGAUCCCUAGCUGGUCUGAGAGGAUGACCGGCCACACUGGAACUGAGCCACGGUCCAGCCUCCUACGGGAGGCAGCAGGGGGGAACAUUGCACAAUGGGCGCAAUCCUGAUGCAGCCAGUCCGCGUGUAUGAAGAAGGCCCUAGGGUUGUAAAGUACUUUCAGUCGGGAGGCGUUACCGACAGAAGAAGCACCGGCUAACUCCGUGCCAGCAGCCGCGGUAAUUC
rnacentral:rRNA from 1 species